UACGAAGGGGGCUAGCGUUGUUCGGAAUUACUGGGCGUAAAGCGCGCGCAGGCGGUCCUUCAAGUCAGAGGUGAAAGCCCAGAGCUCAACUCUGGAAUGGCCUUUGAGACUAGAGGACUUGGGUACGGGAGAGGUGAGUGGAAUUCCGAGUGUAGAGGUGAAAUUCGUAGAUAUUCGGAAGAACACCAGUGGCGAAGGCGAACUUACUGGACACAUAUUGACGCUGAGGUGCGAAAAGCGUGGGGAGCAAACAGG
rnacentral:rRNA from 1 species